rnacentral:rRNA from 1 species
CAGGACUGUAGCAAUACAGUUGCUGGCGACCGGCAAACGGGUGCGGAACACGUACGCAACCUUCCUUUAAGUGGAGGAUAGCCCGGGGAAACCCGGAUUAAUACUCCGUAACAUUAUGAAAUGGCAUCAUUUUAUAAUUAUAGCUCCGGCGCUUAAAGAUGGGCGUGCGUCUGAUUAGGUAGUUGGCGGGGUAACAGCCCACCAAGCCUACGAUCAGUAACUGGUGUGAGAGCACGACCAGUCACACGGGCACUGAGACACGGGCCCGACUCCUACGGGAGGCAGCAGUAAGGAAUAUUGGUCAAUGGACGCAAGUCUGAACCAGCCAUGCCGCGUGGAGGAUGAAGGUCCUCUGGAUUGUAAACUUCUUUUAUUUGGGAAGAAACCCACGGUUUCUACUGUGGUUGACGGUACCAGAUGAAUAAGCACCGGCUAACUCCGUGCCAGCAGCCGCGGUAAUACGGAGGGUGCAAGCGUUAUCCGGAUUCACUGGGUUUAAAGGGUGCGUAGGCGGGCAGGUAAGUCAGUGGUGAAAUCUCCGGGCUUAACCCGGAAACUGCCGUUGAUACCAUCUGUCUUGAAUAUCGUGGAGGUGAGCGGAAUAUGUCAUGUAGCGGUGAAAUGCUUAGAUAUGACAUAGAACACCAAUUGCGAAGGCAGCUCGCUACACGGUUAUUGACGCUGAGGCACGAAAGCGUGGGGAUCAAACAGGAUUAGAUACCCUGGUAGUCCACGCCCUAAACGAUGAUUACUCGACAUCAGCGAUACACUGUUGGUGUCUGAGCGAAAGCAUUAAGUAAU